rnacentral:lncRNA from 1 species
GGGAAAGACUCAUCAAGUCUGAAUCAGUUACUGAAAGAGUGGAGAGGAGACUGGGGAAAGACAAAAAGGGUGGAGAAGGAAGGAAAGCAAGGAGGGAGAGAGCCUGAGAGCAGAGGAGGCUGUGACUUCAAUUCUCCCACAAGUCCUGUGGGAAAGGCACCAACUUUUCUCAUCAAGGUAACUCCAGGCACCCAUCCACCUUUAUUCCACAAGCACUCCUUGAGUACCAACCAUUCACAGGACCCUGUCCUAUGCUGCAGGCUACUGGGGGCACUGGUGAGAGGGUGAGACAUGGCUCUUGACAUGUGCUUUGGGUCUAGACUGUGGAGUCAGGUGCAUGUCUGCACAUUGACUCAAUGCAGGAUGUGGCUGGGGCUGUAAAAAUGUGUGCAUGGAGUAUUCUGGAGCCAGAUGAACACGAGGCCACAUGACUGAGUCAGGGCAGCUUUAAGGAGAAGUGACAUUUGGGUGAGUCUUAAACGAUGUUAUUUUUUAAAGAAACCUUUUUAUUUUGAAAUAAUUUUAGAUUCAAAAGAAGUUGUAAAAAUAGUACAGAGAGUUCCUGUGUACCCUUCACCCAGCUUCCCCCAACGAUAACAUCUUACAUAACCAGAGCCCAUUAUCUCAACCAGGAAACUGACCAUGGUGCAGUACCAAUAACUAAACUCCAGGCCUUGUUUGAACUUCAUUAGUGACGGUGGGGUUUUAACAGGGCAGGGAAAGCCGAGGAAGGUACUUCAGUAGGCAGCAAGAACAGAAGCAGAGAGGUGGGAGUAGGAAGCCCAAGUAUGAGUUCUAGCUCUGCUUCUGCUGUUGUCUUGCUACGUGGCAUGAGGCAUUGGGUGGUCCUGUGACUCAAGCUACACACCUGGCAAGCCAACAAGCAUGCCAACCCUGGAACUUGGAGAAAGUGACGUGUGGAGCAACAUUCCUCCAGCAGUCACCUGCAACCCAUGCCUCCCACAUUUUGGUGUACCAACAAGGCUGGAAGGUCCCUUCCUUAUGCAGGAUAACCAAGGAUCCAACCUCCUCUUAGGAAUGGAGAAACUGGGGCUCACAGGUGGGUUACUCAAGCCACACAGCCCAUUAGGGCCAGAGCUGAGCUUCCACCCACAUCUGGUUCUCUCUGUCCCAUGUGACUUCCCUCUUCCCCCAACCCUGUUACUUUCAUGGUACUAUCUGCCUGGGCACAGAUUCAAGAUGAAGGGUGGCCUCUAAGGGCCUACUGAGGAGGAAUUUGAGCGAGCCCAGCCCCAGCACUAGGGCAGGCAGGUCUCUCUGUCUCAUCCACCUUCUGCCACAGCUGGCGCUGCCUGUGACACAAGAAGGCAGGCAUCACUCCCACAGUGGAGCACGUAGGAAUGGCCAGAACGGCCCUUGACCAGUGUAAACUCUGGAGGGUAGAGUUUAUAGAGGUGUUUUCGCCUGAAUCGUUAAAAUGACAUCGGGGGUUAAUAAAUCCCUCAGUUAACACCAAUACCCCUGCCCCAGUGACAGUAAAAGAGGCCUCCUCUGAUGGCCGCAGAGGGACCCCCACUGGAGGGAGAUACCAAAGGGGACUUAUUGUGUCCUUGUAGAGGAAAUGAGACACAAGAAUUUGGAGGAAAUGUCUGCUGUAAAAUAAUGCACGUCAGGGGCAGCAGCUGCUGAGAAAGGCACAGCCUUUUUCAGGCAAGUUCGAGUUUUCCCAUCUGGUUUUUCAAGAGGGAUAAAAGCCCCUGCUCCCUGAUCUGUGUCUAAAAUCUUCCUCAUAGCAGGAAGCCUUCUUGAGAUGGUGAAGAAGGGGCAUCAGGCCUCUCCCUGCUCCUAGACUCCAAAGUCACACAAUGGCAAAGCUUAGCAGUCCCUUUCUACUCAGUGUGGUCCAUGGACCAGCAGAAUCGCCCUCCCUGGGGAGCCUGAUAGAAAUUGAGAAUCUUAGGCCCCAGCCCAGACCCACUGAAUCUGAGCCUGCUCUUCAACAAGACCCCUAGGGGAUUCAUUCAAAGUGUAAGCAGCCCUGUUCCAGUCCAAAUGCCUCUUGUACAAAUGAGGAAACUGACACACAGGAGGGGAAAAAGACUGCCCCAGCUCAUAUUGUGAGUGAAACAGAGAACAGGGCUUGGGACCCAGCCCCAGACUCUGAUCUGGGUUCCUCUGCACCCUGCUUGACUGCCCACACCUGGGCAGCAUCCUUCUCUGCCCCAGAAAAGGGAAAGCUCCCAUGGGGCAGGCAGAUGCCUGGAGUGAGAGUGAGGCCACCCCGGGCAGCCAGAAGAGUAGCCACUCCCCGUGAGGCCUUCCUCUAGGGUGGUGGGCAGCAGCCAACCCCACGGUCCCUCUGUGGGUGCCCUGGACAAACCACAGGCCCCAAGCUUGCCUUGUAUGGUGCCCACGUAGGUUUCCAGAGCUGGGCGCAAGUGAGCCAGGACCCCCAGGACAACUGAGUCCUCAGUUGGGCCCAGAAGAUGUGCAGCUCUGUCCAGCCCGUCCAUGCUACGCAUUGUGGCCCCCCAUGUGCUGAGAGCCAGAUUUCACUGUGGCCUGUGUGGCCACUCUGGGAGGCCUCAUCAUGGGGAGAAAGGCAUGGAUAGAAGCCAGGUGUAGAGCUGAGCUCCCAGUUUUGAUGCUCACUAGGUAACAUCUUGAAAAGGUCCCUUCCCUGGUGUCACCUGGGUGACUGAGAGGACUGAUGACAAGCAACUGUGCUCAGGGUCUUCUUUGCCCCUGUGAGGUCCAUUGAGGGCCCCUCUGUAAAGAUGCAAAGGGAAGGGUGGCUAUAAAGACAAUACCUUGUGCAAACAUAGAAGAGGCCAGGGCCAUCAUCUCCCCAGCUGGACCCAGGGUCCCCUGGCCCAUGCCUGAGACAUCACUCCCUGUGUCCUGGGCUCCGGGCUGUGUAGCACUUUGGUCUGAGUUCAGCCUCUUUUGCAUCCUCUGCAGCUCUGAGCACAUACAUCAGUGCACAUAAAGCUGUCCAGAAACAGAAGCUAAACUGAGCUCUCUUUCUGGGUCUCCAUGACAUGACAGUGAAACCCAGCAGAGGUGGGCACGUGAAAGCUGCUUGAAGAGUGUUGGCAGAGGCAAGAAAGACUUGUCUUUUUCUGGGGCAAGAGGAGGGAGGAGGACCUCUCCCUCUCUGAGGGACAGAGGAGGGGGAAGGACCACCUGGGCCCCACAGCGCCCCCUGACCUGUGUACAGUAGCCAUGUGCUCCAAUCAGGUGGCUGGUGGGGACAUCAAAGUCCUGGCGGAUGCUGGAAAACACAAGAAGCAUUGUUAGCACAGCUCUGCCUGACCCAGGUUGCAAACCUCGCUAGGUGACCAGGCGCUCCCCUUAGGUUCCAGGCUAAGACCCAGAAUUCCAGAUUUGGUGGGAACCUGAGCGCUCUGUUCUGUGCCCUCCACGGAGGAGGCUCCCACCCAGAAGGGAUGGGGCUAGAGCCCAGGCCUCCUAGAGUAGAGCUCACUGCAUUCUCUGGGCAAUGGCCUCCACUCCAGCCGCACCAGGGCUCUGCCUACACUAGAGAACAGCGACUGAAGCGUGACACGGUAGAGAGGACCCUGGGUUUGGAAUCCAGUGUCCUGAAUU